AGUGAACGCUGGCGGUAGGCCUAACACAUGCAAGUCGAACGGCAGCACAGUAAGAGCUUGCUCUUACGGGUGGCGAGUGGCGGACGGGUGAGGAAUACAUCGGAAUCUACUUUUUCGUGGGGGAUAACGUAGGGAAACUUACGCUAAUACCCCAUACGACCUACGGGUGAAAGCAGGGGAUCUUCGGACCUUUCGCGAUUGAAUGAGCCGAUGUCGGAUUAGCUAGUUGGCGGGGUAAAGGCCCACCAAGGCGACGAUCCGUAGCUGGUCUGAGAGGAUGAUCAGCCACACUGGAACUGAGACACGGUCCAGACUCCUACGGGAGGCAGCAGUGGGGAAUAUUGGACAAUGGGCGCAAGCCUGAUCCAGCCAUACCGCGUGGGUGAAGAAGGCCUUCGGGUUGUAAAGCCCUUUUGUUGGGAAAGAAAAGCAGCAGGUUAAUACCCCGCUGUUCUGACGGUACCCAAAGAAUAAGCACCGGCUAACUUCGUG
rnacentral:rRNA from 1 species